rnacentral:rRNA from 1 species
GCUUAACACAUGCAAGUCGAGGGGAAACGAUAUUGGAAGCUUGCUUCCGAUAGGCGUCGACCGGCGCACGGGUGAGUAACGCGUAUCCAACCUGCCCACCACUUGGGGAUAACCUUGCGAAAGUAAGACUAAUACCCAAUGAUAUCUCUAGAAGACAUCUGAAAGAGAUUAAAGAUUUAUCGGUGAUGGAUGGGGGUGCGUCUGAUUAGCUUGUUGGCGGGGUAACGGCCCACCAAGGCAACGAUCAGUAGGGGUUCUGAGAGGAAGGUCCCCCACAUUGGAACUGAGACACGGUCCAAACUCCUACGGGAGGCAGCAGUGAGGAAUAUUGGUCAAUGGACGAGAGUCUGAACCAGCCAAGUAGCGUGCAGGAAGACGGCCCUAUGGGUUGUAAACUGCUUUUAUAAGGGAAUAAAGUGAGUCUCGUGAGACUUUUUGCAUGUACCUUAUGAAUAAGGACCGGCUAAUUCCGUGCCAGCAGCCGCGGUAAUACGGAAGGUCCGGGCGUUAUCCGGAUUUAUUGGGUUUAAAGGGAGCGUAGGCCGGAGAUUAAGCGUGUUGUGAAAUGUAGAUGCUCAACAUCUGAACUGCAGCGCGAACUGGUUUCCUUGAGUACGCACAAAGUGGGCGGAAUUCGUGGUGUAGCGGUGAAAUGCUUAGAUAUCACGAAGAACUCCGAUUG